UACGUAGGGUGCGAGCGUUGUCCGGAUUUAUUGGGCGUAAAGGGCUCGUAGGCGGCUUGUCGCGUCGGGAGUGAAAACACGGGGCUUAACCCCGUGCCUGCUUCCGAUACGGGCAGACUAGAGGUAUGCAGGGGAGAACGGAAUUCCUGGUGUAGCGGUGAAAUGCGCAGAUAUCAGGAGGAACACCGGUGGCGAAGGCGGUUCUCUGGGCAUUACCUGACGCUGAGGAGCGAAAGUGUGGGGAGCGAACAGG
rnacentral:rRNA from 1 species